rnacentral:rRNA from 1 species
CCUGCACGAAUGGCGUAAUGAUGGCCAGGCUGUCUCCACCCGAGACUCAGUGAAAUUGAACUCGCUGUGAAGAUGCAGUGUACCCGCGGCAAGACGGAAAGACCCCGUGAACCUUUACUAUAGCUUGACACUGAACAUUGAGCCUUGAUGUGUAGGAUAGGUGGGAGGCUUUGAAGUGUGGACGCCAGUCUGCAUGGAGCCGACCUUGAAAUACCACCCUUUAAUGUUUGAUGUUCUAACGUUGACCCGUAAUCCGGGUUGCGGACAGUGUCUGGUGGGUAGUUUGACUGGGGCGGUCUCCUCCUAAAGAGUAACGGAGGAGCACGAAGGUUGGCUAAUCCUGGUCGGACAUCAGGAGGUUAGUGCAAUGGCAUAAGCCAGCUUGACUGCGAGCGUGACGGCGCGAGCAGGUGCGAAAGCAGGUCAUAGUGAUCCGGUGGUUCUGAAUGGAAGGGCCAUCGCUCAACGGAUAAAAGGUACUCCGGGGAUAACAGGCUGAUACCGCCCAAGAGUUCAUAUCGACGGCGGUGUUUGGCACCUCGAUGUCGGCUCAUCACAUCCUGGGGCUGAAGUAGGUCCCAAGGGUAUGGCUGUUCGCCAUUUAAAGUGGUACGCGAGCUGGGUUUAGAACGUCGUGAGACAGUUCGGUCCCUAUCUGCCGUGGGCGCUGGAGAACUGAGGGGGGCUGCUCCUAGUACGAGAGGACCGGAGUGGACGCAUCACUGGUGUUCGGGUUGUCAUGCCAAUGGCACUGCCCGGUAGCUAAAUGCGGAAGAGAUAAGUGCUGAAAGCAUCUAAGCACGAAACUUGCCCCGAGAUGAGUUCUCCCUGACUCCUUGAGAGUCCUGAAGGAACGUUGAAGACGACGACGUUGAUAGGCCGGGUGUGUAAGCGCAGCGAUGCGUUGAGCUAACCGGUACUAAUGAACCGUGAGG